AGCUCAUUACUACCCAAUAAUUCAGUGGAUUUGAUUUUACUAGUGAAAGAAAAUCAGCCACUUUUUCAAAUCACAGAGGUAAAUUGCCUUUCCCAUGGUACAAGUCUACAGGUGGCCCCCUAAAGAAUUAUUUACCAUUCACAGUAGUUCUUAUUUGUACAAAGACUUGAAUCCCAAAGUUGCUUUAACCAGACCUAAAGACUAAAUCUACUUGAUUUCAAAUUAAGAGGACAGGUGGAAAGGGAGCGUUACUCUUAUUCAUGGGAAAGUUACAUUAAAAUGAUUUCUGUCUUACUUUCCAAAGUAGCCAUUUGUCAUUGAUUUUAGCCAGGGGACAGGCAUGUAAAUAAACACCAAAAGAAAGACCAAACAGAGUAUCUUCUGAACUCAAUUUCGUGGUAGGAUUGAGGAUUAGGAGUAAAAUUAUGUGGAUCCUAAGGGAGCACAGCAAUUCAGGAGAGGGAGUUGGAGCGAUGGCCAGCAUAGCAAUCCCUCCCCUUGGUAUGAAGUCCCUUCUACAUUUUUUUUGUCUUGGGGGAGGUUUAGGUUUGGUUUAAGGAUGGAAUUCUGAUACAGGAUAUUCAUAUGGCUCAUUUGAAGUAACGGACAAGAACACUUUGCAAAGGCUGACAUGCUUUAUAAAUUUAAGGUGUUAUUAUUGUGUUUUUGAAAGUAUAAGGAAGACUGGAAAAAGGUGAUUAUCAGCUAAAAACUGUAUGCUGAUAGUGGGAAUUAAAAAAAAAGUCUUCAUUUUUCCUUGAAUCACCACCAUUAACAUUUUGGUACAAAGUUUUCCAGUCACAGUUUGUAAAACAAAACCUCUCACUUACAAGGAUAUAAUAAGGAGUUUCUUUUCCCCGGUUCUUUGGGUCUGGCCCAAGGACUGGGUAAGCAGCUGUUUUGCAAAAACUGGCCUCUCUCCUUUCCCCUUUCGCAGUCUCUGCCCAAUUGGCCAGCAAAUUAAUAAGGCUUAAUGUCAUUCAGUCUUUUAGCCAGGAAUUAAUAAACCAUAGUCUCAUAAGAAAUUGUUUAGAUGUUGAUGGUACGUGGAUUCACACUUUAAGAAACCUGUACUCUGUUUUAGACGUGGGGCGUUUUCACCACUUCCUGCUUCCCCCACUGAAUGUGUGGCCUUGCAAUGCCACGGCCUUGUGGUCUUCUUCUUUGUACUCUGGUGUCAUCUGUUAAGGACACUGAAGGUCAACCCCUAAUCUCACUUUCUAGUAAAUAAAUGGUUUGCAUGGCCAAGAUGAAUCUCUAAAUAGCUCAAUGCCAUAGAAUCAGGUGGAAAGCAGACUUGAGAGUCCUUGGAGGAGGAAGAGAGAAUAGCACAUGGGCUGACAUGGUUGACUUCAGGUUAAAAUAAUUGCAUGUCUGUUUCUGAUCUUUGUAAGGUAUGGCAUUUUCUUUCUUUUUUUUUUUUUUUUUAAGAUUUUAUUUAUUUAUUUGACAGAGAGAGAGACAGCGAGAAAGGGGACACAAGCAGGGGGAGUGGGAGAGGGAGAGGCAGGCUUCCUGCUGAGCAGGGAGCCCAAUGCGGGACUCGACUCCAGGACCCUGGGAUCAUGACCUGAGCCAAAGGCAGACGCUUAACAACUGAGCCACCCCUGCGCUCCAGAUUCAGGGGAGUUGGGAGAAGGUUGCGGACGCUGCUGAGGACUCAUCAGGACCCAGGCACCACGUGCAGCAUCUUCCAUCCCUUACCCCGCACAGUGCUCGAGGACCUCUGAGGACCCGAGUGAUGACAAAUGAUUUUGUGCCUGAGCCUGGAAAACAACAUUUCAAAUUCGAAGCUUGGGAUCCUGCAGGAUUCGGUGUCUAUUUCUAUCUCACUGCCCGCCUGCCCCUCCCUUGAACCUCUGUACUGACCAUCAAAUUGGGCAAAAGGCAUCAUGCUCCUACCGGGCAAGGCUGCCCGAGAAGUCAGAGCGCAAGGUGCCCAGUGGCCCACUUCCCUCGGGUGACAGGCUGUUCCUUCCUGGCAUGGGCGCUGGCGGGAGGCCAGGGAGCAAUGGGGCCGCGAGGCAGCCUUGGCUCAGAGCCCUGGCUGCUGUCUGGGCAUGAAACUGGGCUCUGGCACCAGGAGCGUGGUUCUAGCUCUCUGAGCCAGAACUGCCUGUGCAGCGACCACCCCAGCCCUCAGGCCCUGGUGAGGCCCAGUCCUUCUGCCCCUCAGGCAGGGCAGGUUCAGGAGCAGAGAUGGAUCUGGAAGGAAUGGCAGAAGCUAGUAGAGGAUGCUGUGGCAAAAGCAAGUAAUGUCUCCACGCAGAGGAGCAGCCUCUGGGGGUGUGCCUAGGACAGAGGAGAGAAUGGGUGUGUGUCCAGCGAGCGGGCAGAGCAGGCUUUACUCCGCUUCCUUGCUCUGCUGCGGACUAGGGGCCUCAGCCCUACCAAUGGCCUCCCUCCAUGACCUGCCAGGGCCUCCAAUCCAGACACAGUGUCUCUACUGUCCUGAAACGAAAGCUCCACCUGGGUCCCGGCAAGCCUGUCUCUUUCAGGAGGGCCUCCUGCCGCCAGUUUUUCAACCCUGUUUUUCAGCCUCUGACCCCAGAGUAAUCUCAACUUCCUUGUACUCAGUUCAGAAGAUGUUUGCUAUUCAGGAUUCUGAUGCAGAGGUGUGAUAAGAGAGGCCUCAGGCCUUCUGAGUUCGUAAACCAACAAAGUCCAAGGAUUUGAAAACCGAGAAGCAUAAGGACAGCCACGCCCUGAGAGGUGGCCCAGUGCCAGGUCCUGUCACCUGGAAUCAUCCAAGAUAUUUAGAAACGGGUGUUAGCAGGGCUUUACUACGUUUACUCUGGAUGUCUUACUUGUUUUGUUUUUGAAACAAGAGUUUCCCAUAGCACCAACAAAAUCA